UACAGAGACUACAAGCGUUAUUCGGAUUCACUGGGCGUAAAGGGUGCGCAGGCGGCCAAGUGUGUGAGGCGUGAAAGCCUGGGGCUUAACUCCAGAAUUGCACCUCAAACUACAUGGCUAGAGCAUUGGAGAGGGUAGCAGAAUUCACGGUGUAGCAGUGAAAUGCGUAGAUAUCGUGAGGAAUACCAGAGGCGAAGGCGGCUACCUGGACAAUUGCUGACGCUCAGGCACGAAAGCGUGGGGAGCAAAAGGG
rnacentral:rRNA from 1 species